rnacentral:rRNA from 1 species
GACGAGGGGUCCUAGCGUUGUUCGGAAUCAUUGGGCGUAAAGCGUAUGUAGGCUGCCUUGCAAGUCAGUUGUGAAAGCCCCGGGCUCAACCCGGGAAGUGCUUCUGAUACUGCAUGGCUUGAAUACUGGAGAGGGUAGUGGAAUUCCUGGUGUAGUGGUGAAAUACGUAGAUAUCAGGAGGAACAUCGGUGGCGAAGGCGGCUACCUGGCCAUGUAUUGACGCUGAGAUACGAAAGCGUGGGGAGCAAACAGG